GUCCCUUCAGGAUAUCCGAUAAAAUUGGAACGAUAUAGAGAAGAUUAGCAUGGACCCUGCGCAUGAAUGACAUGCACAAGAUAGCCAUAUUUAUCAUAUAUUU